ACGUAGGUGCUGCUUCUUUUGCUAUCGCUUUUGUCACUUAUGUUGCUUCAAAACCAAGUCAAGUUGUUCAUUUUAUAUAGCUUUUGCUACAACCGAAAGUACAUCCAGAGGGAGUCUGUUAAGUCUUGUGUGUUGGCAAGUUUCGUGAAAUGAGUCGGAGCCUUGAAGAAUCGGUGGGUAUCGUCGAAGACCGAAGAAUUCAAGAUUUCGAAGAGAUUGGAAAAUAACUCACAACGUGAAUCACGAUGCUCAGGGGGAGAGCAUAGAUGAACUAGUGUUGAUCGAGAAUAAAGUAGAAGAAGGAAUGAAAUCAAAGGAGAAGAGGAUGAAUUCAA